UACGAGAGGCCCAAACGUUAUUCGGAUUUACUGGGCUUAAAGAGUUCGUAGGCGGCGCAGAAAGUCGGGUGUGAAAGCCCUCGGCUCAACCGAGGAAUUGCGCCCUAAACUACUGUGCUCGAGGAAGCUAGAGGUGAGCAGAACAGAUGGUGGAGCGGUGAAAUGCGUAGAUAUCUGGAAGAACACCGGUGGCGCAAGCGGAUUGCUGGGCCAUAACUGACACUGAGGAACGAAAGCUAGGGGAGCGAAUGGG
rnacentral:rRNA from 1 species